AUUUGUGUUGCCUUUUGUAAUUUCAAUAACUGUUCAGAAAUUUUAUUGUUUUGAGUUGCAUUAUAUAUGUUUAUCAGUAUAUGCUUUGCAUGCAUGUUAAUUAUGUGACCAAUAGCUGAGCUUUUAUCUACUCUUGCAGAACUGGCAGACAUGGUUAUUUAGAUUGACUUUAAGUUGGAGAGUAGUGUCAUGUUUGUGGUGAUUGUUGUUUAUGGUGCUAAAAUUUCUAGUCCUUUUUCCUUAUAGGUUAAUUUGUUUAUUAACUUUGUGUGGCUACAAUACUCCUCAUAUCUGAAAUCAAGCUGAAUUUUAAUUUGCUUGUAGUCAUCAUGAUUUUUCCAAUUUUGUUGCUGCAUUGCCAUUAAACAAUUUGUGUUGGCAUCACAUUACUAGUCUUAAUAAGAAAUACAUGCUUGAAGUUAUGAGUCUAUGCACCAAUUACAUUUAUUCUUGG
rnacentral:misc_RNA from 1 species